AAGAAGCAAGACCGUGAGGUGGAGCAAAACUCAAAAACUUAGUCUCAGUUCGGAUUGUAGGCUGAAACUCGCCUACAUGAAGCUGGAGUUGCUAGUAAUCGCGAAUCAGCAUGUCGCGGUGAAUACGUUCCCGGGCCUUGUACACACCGCCCGUCACACCAUGAGAGUUGGCAAUACCCAACGUACGUGAUCUAACCCGCAAGGGAGGAAGCGUCCUAAGGUAGGGUCAGCGAUUGGGGUGAAGUCGUAACAAGGUAAC
rnacentral:rRNA from 1 species